rnacentral:rRNA from 1 species
GACGUAGGGCGCGAGCGUUGUCCGGAUUUAUUGGGCGUAAAGAGCUCGUAGGCGGCUUGUCGCGUCGAAUGUGAAAACUCGGGGCUCAACUCCGAGCUUGCAUUCGAUACGGGCAGGCUAGAGUUCGGUAGGGGAGACUGGAAUUCCUGGUGUAGCGGUGAAAUGCGCAGAUAUCAGGAGGAACACCAGCGGCGAAGGCGGCUUUCUGGUCUGGUACUGACGCUGAGGCGCGAAAGCGUGGGGAGCGAUCCGG